GCAGACUGGCUUGCUGGAGAUAUCGCAGUAGAUGGCAGAGGACUGUGCAGCCUCACACCCCUCUUCAGAAAGGAGUAGAACAAGGAUCCCUAGCGAAAGAGAGGUGAUGGCUGGAAACCUGAAAGCGGGAACUCAUGGAAUAGACUAUGAACGGGGGAAUACAGGAUUCAUUUGUGAUGUUCUGAUGUGCUGUUGAAAGGAAAAGAACGGAGUCUGUUACACACUGACACUUCAAAACGCUCCUGCUAAUGUAUUUUCAAACUCAUUGAAUUAUCAUAGAAAUUCAUCAUGGGAGGAGCUGUGAGUGCUGGGGAAGACAAUGAUGAUUUAAUUGAUAACUUGAAAGAAGCUCAGUAUAUUCGCACUGAGAGAGUGGAGCAAGCCUUCAGAGCAAUUGACCGUGGUGAUUAUUAUCUAGAAGGAUACAGGGACAAUGCUUAUAAAGACUUGGCUUGGAAGCAUGGAAAUAUACACUUAUCAGCACCUUGCAUUUAUUCUGAAGUCAUGGAGGCAUUGAAACUUCAACCAGGAUUAUCUUUUCUGAAUCUGGGUAGCGGAACCGGAUAUUUGAGUACAAUGGUGGGAUUAAUAUUAGGCCCUUUUGGAAUAAAUCAUGGAAUAGAGCUUCAUUCAGAUGUGGUAGAAUAUGCCAAGGAAAAAUUGGAGAGCUUCAUAAAAAAUAAUGAUAGCUUUGAUAAUCGGCUUCUAGACCUAGAAUAUCCGUCUCGGAGGGAGAGCCACAGGGCAGGGCUAGGUCGCCCAUCUCCUAACACCCUAUCAAAAACCAAACGUGUGUAAGCUGCUGAAGUGAGUGCCGUGAAAGAAAUAUCAACACUCUUCUCAGGAUCAAAAGAAUUUAUCGCUACUCUUCUAAAGAAACAACUGCAAUGGAAUACAUCCAACCAGAAUUGGCAACCCUUAGGAGUCAUCAAAGCAGAAAAUAGUCUUCAUCCAGCUGCAGUCGAAUGAUUAUCCUGCUAUAAAGACAAAAG